rnacentral:rRNA from 1 species
CGUGUAGGCGGUUCGGUAAGUUGGAUGUGAAAUCUCCCGGCUCAACUGGGAGAGGUCGUUCAAUACUGUCGGACUUGAGGACGGUAGAGGGAGGUGGAAUUCCCGGUGUAGUGGUGAAAUGCGUAGAUAUCGGGAGGAACACCAGUGGCGAAGGCGGCCUCCUGGACCGUACCUGACGCUCAGACGCGAAAGCUAGGGGAGCGAACG